rnacentral:lncRNA from 1 species
CCCUGCCUCUGUAUUCCCAUAGCCUGCUACAGACCUCCACGACAUCACAUGAAAGGUACCAGCUAAACAGAUGUGGGGUGAUUAACCAUCCACUCCAAGGAACACAUGUGGGAAGGUAUCCGUCAGUGGAGCAGGUUUGCAAAUACACGACACACGAGACUCGCCACUGGCCUUAAUGAAGCCUGCAUCAUUCGGUGCUGAAAGCAAAAGAUGACGAGCUCCAUGAGGGCCAAGGCUCUCCAUUCUUGUUCACCACUGCACACUCAGGAGCUCAUGGCAUGCUGGCUGUGCUAGUUCUAUCCUCAACAGAAUAAUUGCUGACAAACUCUCUUGCCCAGAAAAUGUCUACUGGAAUUAUGGAGUACAAAAAAACUACAAAAGCAAUGAAAAAAAGAAGGAUGUUUUAUUUACAUCCUAUUUCAAAACCAUUGCUUUCUUGCUAUUGUAUGUCUCUGCAGGCCCAAUAUCGCGCAUCUUCAUAAGAAGUUUAGAAUUGUUCCUUAUGUUUCCUUCUAACAAACACUGGUGUUAAGUUUCAAGAAGUUGGUGAAAUGGAGACAGCCAAUCCAACCCAGGAGACAGUGUUUGAAAACAGGG